rnacentral:rRNA from 1 species
AUGCGAAAGGAAGAAAUAUUGACUCCAGAACGAACAGCGCCAGCAGUGGUUGCCCUAGCGAUUAAUUUUGUGCGCGGAGCACAAGCUAAAUCUACACCCAAGAUCAGCAGGUGGCCGACGUUUCUAGCAGGACAACUUGUCCUUAAUGUCGAUGCUUCAUUCACAGAGGGCGAUUGUGCAGGGUCUUGUGGUGCUGUCAUCAGUGAUCACUGGGGAUCUUUCAUGUCGGCGUCCACGGCGAGAUUAGAACAUGUAGCUGAUGUGUUCACGGCAGAAGCGGCAGCUCUGCUUGAAGGACUGAAGCUAGCAAGAGAUACGGGAUGCAAUAACUUGGUGGUGAGAUCGGAUAAUAUCACGGUGAUGGAUGCACUUAAAUUCAAUGAAGGUUACUCUAUGGUGGCAGCGCCAGUUCUUGAUGAAUGUCGUAGUUAUCUAGUAGAUUUCAGGAGGUUUACUAUUGAGCAUUGUAUUAGAGAGUCAAAUUAUGUAGCUCAUGAGCUGGCUAGAUGGGGACGUGCUAAUAAUCCACCUCGUUGGAUUGAUGACCCGCCUGAUUUCAUUGUGAGUCUGAUAGCAGACGAUAUAUCCGUCCUUUGA